rnacentral:lncRNA from 10 species
UGCUGAAAAAAUGGAAGCCCCGGAAAGAGAACAUUUUAUAAGGAGAAUCUCCAGGCAUGUCUUAAAACACAGAGACAAGUAAACGACACCUGAGUGUCAGGACUGCCAGGACUUUCCCGAGACAUAUCAAAGAAACCAUAAACAUAAAUCACCCCAGGAAGACCAAGUGUGCAGAUGAAGAUAAUACUUUAGACAAGCAGUGUGCUUUGG